GUGCCAGCCGCCGCGGUAAUACCGGCAGCUCAAGUGAUGGCCGAUCUUAUUGGGCCUAAAGCGUCCGUAGCUGGCCUCGCAAGUCCGUCGGGAAAUCCACCUGCUCAACAGGUGGGCGCCCGGUGGAAACUGUGCGGCUUGGGACCGGAAGGCGCGACGGGUACGUCCGGGGUAGGAGUGAAAUCCCGUAAUCCUGGACGGACCGCCGAUGGCGAAAGCACGUCGCGAGAACGGAUCCGACAGUGAGGGACGAAAGCCAGGGUCUCGAACCGGAUUAGAAACCCUAGUAGUCC
rnacentral:rRNA from 1 species